rnacentral:rRNA from 1 species
ACAGCAGUCGCCACGGUAAUACGUAGGGCGCAAGCGUUAUCCGGAAUUAUUGGGCGUAAAGAGCUCGUAGGCGGUUUGUCGCGUCUGCCGUGAAAGUCCGGGGCUCAACCCCGGAUCUGCGGUGGGUACGGGCAGACUAGAGUGAUGUAGGGGAGACUGGAAUUCCUGGUGUAGCGGUGAAAUGCGCAGAUAUCAGGAGGAACACCGGUGGCGAAGGCAGGUCUCUGGGCAUUAACUGACGCUGAGGAGCGAAAGCAUGGGGAGCGAACAGGAUUAGAUACCCGAGUAGUCCCUGUCUCUUAUAC